AACGCACAUUGCGCCCUCUGGUAUUCCGGAGGGCAUGCCUGUUCGAGCGUCAUUUCAAACCUCAAGCCUCGGCUUGGUCUUGGGCACCGUCCGUCAGGACGCGCCAGAAACACGUAGGCAGUGGUGCCCGUCUCCCAGCGUAGUCAGUCUACCCGCUCCGGAGCUCGUGGUGCCGCCCGCCGGACAACCCCACUAUUUCUAUGGUUUGACCUCGGAUCAGGUAGGGAUACCCGCUGAACUUAA
rnacentral:misc_RNA from 1 species